rnacentral:rRNA from 1 species
UGCGAUCAUACCAGCACUAAUGCACCGGAUCCCAUCAGAACUCCGCAGUUAAGCGUGCUUGGGCGAGAGUAGUACUAGGAUGGGUGACCUCCUGGGAAGUCCUCGUGUUGCACCCC